UCACAUUAUUUCUUAUCUAAAUAACGUGUUGGCCGAGUUAGACUCGGAUAUUUCCACCCAGCUCUUACUCGGUUCAGGACGCUGACGGCUCCGAUUCCCAACUCAUUCAAUGCUUCUUCCGAGGAAAACAACCGGAGAAAAAACCGAUCAAGCAAAACCCCCAAUCUUCAUCAAAAUUUUCAACAUCAGCCUUCUCAAAUUAAAAAAUUCCCCCCUCCGUAUGGAUCUCUUCCACCACCGCAGGACUUCGACUGCGUUUGAAGAGGUCAACCCACGGAGUAUUGGCCACUUUCCCAACAUUUCCUGUACCAGAACUUCUUUGAGGUAUUUUCUCGAACACAUUGUUUGCAUCAUUUUCACCUUCUGCAGCUAUUUCAGGUUGCGAUCGAUAACAGCUAUUGGUGUGUGUGUGUGUGUGUGGAUGACGGGAUAGACCAAGCAUACAAAAACAUACAUAGCAACAGUUUACUUUACAAUAUUGCAAUUCUUGUAUAUCUCUGUAUUGUCUUAAUGCUGUCUCUUGGUGAGACUACAUUGCUUGAGUUUCACAGUAACUCUGGAUUAGAGUUCCUAUAUGUAAAGAGAUAUAUCAUGAUUGUGCUUCCUAAGUAACUUUUGAUGAAAUAAAUCAAAAUCCUUCCCCCCUUGAUGCGAAGAACGCAUCAAUUCCCACAAUUGUUUGUCCUGCAGUUGUAUUAUCUUUUUAACUAGCUUGUGUUCAUAUAUUUCUACGUUUUCGUCAGUUUCAGGUCUUAUAUCCAAUAUAUGAUAUACUGAUGAAUGUAACUUGAUUCUAGUAUUUUUUGCUCUUUUUAAAUAUGCAUAGUAUGUUCCCAUGGAUCUUUGUUGCUUUAGUUUUAUUUUGAAAUGGCAAUAUCUCGACUGCCAAUAACAGUAGAACUUAUUUACUGAUAUUUUGGCAUGCUAAUAUAUGGCUACUUUUUUUACCGAUUACCGAAACUAAUGAGAAAUUCAAUCAUUUUGAUAGGGAAGGAGAACGUCUUGGUCUACAGCCAUUGCAUCCAACCAGUCGAGUGUGUAAUACUCAUCCACCAUGCUGUUGAUAGAACACACACAUGUAGUUUCUUUUGAUCAGGUAAUAAUGAAAAGAAGAAUCAUACUUUUCUUAUUAUAUAAAUUAAUUCAUUUUGCUCAACAAGUAAUAAAAAGGCGGAAAUAAUUAAUAUUAUUUGCAUUCUAUGAAACCAAAAAGCAGAUAGCUAUGAAACUCUAUCUAACUAGCUAGUUUAGUUGUCCUUCUUCAAAAGCUAUGUCCAUGCCCGUGAUGUUACCGGGAGGUACAAAAACGACAUCAUUCCACUUGGAUGUUGAGCAAUCCUGCAAAAUAUAUAUGACAAUCAACACUUGAUAGGCACGGAAAUGCGAUAAAUGACUAGAUAUUUUAAAGCCUUGUCACCUUCAUUUCUUGUAUUAUAUCUUCGAGAGCAGCAACCUAGUUACGGGCACAUGAAUAUAUAUAUUUAUCAGGAUAUUUAGUCGAGCCAAACGUGGCCAUAGUAAUAACAACAUUAUCAGAAUUAAGAAAACCUGAACAGUGCCUCUUUGCUUUGGUGCUUUAGUCUUAGCUAGAGCCGUUUCAAGGUCCUUCUGCAUUAUUUAUAAAACAUAUUGUAUUAUUGUAGAAUAUAUAAUAUUAGAAAAUGAAAUUAGUAUAGUUUGCGCCUUUCUUUUACCUCCUCAGAAAAGCAGACGAUAUUUUUGUGACUCUCCCUUGCCUUUUACUAUCAACUUAUCGGACUGCAACACGUGAUAAACAAUUUAUGAACUAGUGAAACUAAUAUGAGGAGUGUUGUACAGGUUUUUCUUCAUGUAAGUGCAUCAAUAAGUUUAAAAAGUUGAACCUGGAAAACUGGAACUCCAGCAAAUGUACCGUCUGGAAAACCUGCCUUCUGUUUCUCUUUUUCCUGUGGGUAAGAAGCCAGCUCGUAGGUUAUAUCUGUUAUUCGGAAAUAUAUAUAUAUUUAAAAUCGUAAAAAGAAUAAUAGUAAAGAGUGAAAUUUUUUAUAUGUUGGCAGAAGUCUCAUACCUGAACAGCGUUUUUUACUUCCCAUAAGUCCGGUACCAACCUGAUGGGAAAGCUGUUGCUAUAGAAAUCAACGAACUAUAAUGCAAAUGAUAAGUGAAUCAAUAGCGGAAAUUAGCAAUUACACGAUAUACAUCACAGCAUGACCAUAUUCCUGUGUAAUGAUUUGACAACUUUUUACCUCUGUAAGUGGAGCAUCAAAGAUUCGAGUGUCAGGCGAGCAUAUAAAUAUAUCCUUAAAUCUGAGAGCAUCAGGCUUAUUUAAGAAGUAGAAUUGAAUCACCCUAUCCCCAUAUUCAGAGGGCCGACAUAAUUCGUGUUGUGAAUCGUUUGACAGUUUAUAUACAGAGACCCCAGCCAUGCGUUUCUUGAUUUCUGCGUCAGAUAGUGCAUAAUCAGCACUAUGUUGACUAUUAUCUGAAGAGGAAGCUGAAAUAGAAGCAAACCG
rnacentral:lncRNA from 1 species